GGGAUACAAGAAUAUUUCAGAUUAUAAGUGAAAUUUAUAGAGCUGAAGUACAACAAACUAAUACCUUCCAUAAAUCUACCAAAUUCAUUUUAAGUCAAUAGUCAAUAAUAACCACGGCAGAGGGAAUAUACUUUUCUAGUUACCUUAAUGCCCCAACAGGUUGCCAUGCCUAACCAGUAAUGACCCUGAAAUAUACCAUUUCACAACAACUAACUCUUCUGCUACGCCCCAACAAGUUGCCAUGCCUAACCAGUAAUGACCCUGAAAUAUACCAUUUCACAACAACUAACUCUUCUGCUACGCCCCAACAAGUUGCCAUGCCUAACCAGUAAUGAC